ACGGAGGGUGCAAGCGUUGUCCGGAUUUAUUGGGUUUAAAGGGUGCGUAGGCGGCCCGUUAAGUCAGCGGUGAAAUCCCGGGGCUCAACCCCGGAACUGCCGUUGAUACUGGCGGGCUUGAGUUCGGUUAAGGCGGGCGGAACUGGCGGUGUAGCGGUGAAAUGCUUAGAUACCGCCAAGAACCCCGAUUGCGUAGGCAGCUCGCUGAGCCGAAACUGACGCUGAGGCACGAAAGCGUGGGGAGCGAACAGGA
rnacentral:rRNA from 1 species